AUGUGGCUCAGUGUUAAGAGCACUGUCUACAAUCCAAGAGGACCUGGGUUUGAUUCCCAGCAU
rnacentral:tRNA from 1 species